ensembl:lncRNA
CCAGCAACAGGGUGACUGUGUCACUAGGCGAGAGUGGCAUCGGGUCUCUUCGGCCCCUCUGUUGUCAUCUGCCAUGAGAAGCUGUGGUCAUACAGGGGCCAUGCUGGAGCUGCAAUAGAAGUAAAGCUGGGCAGAUGCCACCAGCCAGCAAGAGGCUGAACUGGUUGCAAGAUUUAGGGAUUCUACUUUGCCUCUCGCAUGCUGCUUGUUGCUUGCAACGCACUAGAAGUCCAUAUAGAUGACUGCCAGUAGGGAUGAGAGAUCCUCCUGACCACUGUCCCCACUACAGACAAAUGUGACAGUGGGUUUGAGCUCCUCCUGAGCCUUGCAAUUGUGCAGUGCCAGACUAGAUGCUUGCUGGGAGAUCUGAGGGAUGUGAAUCCUGCAGUGGGCAGGUGGCAAAAGGCCAGUCUCUUUCAUCUUUGCACCAAGCUCAGAGACUCUCCACUUCACAGAGAAGCUCCUGAACUUGAGAGCUGCCUGUCCCCCAGGGAGGUGAUUUCUUGAACAUGAAGGAGAUGAAGUCCAGCCUGGCAGAGG